AGGGAUUGCCCUAGUAACGGCGAGUGAAGCGGCAACAGCUCAAAUUUGAAAUCUGGCUUCGGCCCGAGUUGUAAUUUGUAGAGGAAGCUUUAGGCGCGGCACCUUCUGAGUCCCCUGGAACGGGGCGCCAAAGAGGGUGAGAGCCCCGUAUAGUUGGAUGCCUAGCCUGUGUAAAGCUCCUUCGACGAGUCGAGUAGUUUGGGAAUGCUGCUCAAAAUGGGAGGUAAAUUUCUUCUAAAGCUAAAUACCGGCCAGAGACCGAUAGCGCACAAGUAGAGUGAUCGAAAGAUGAAAAGCACUUUGAAAAGAGGGUUAAAUAGCACGUGAAAUUGUUGAAAGGGAAGCGCUUGUGACCAGACUUGCGCCGGGCGGAUCAUCCGGUGUUCUCACCGGUGCACUCCGCCCGGCUCAGGCCAGCAUCGGUUCUCGUGGGGGGAUAAAGGCCCUGGGAACGUAGCUCCUCCGGGAGUGUUAUAGCCCAGGGUGUAAUGCCCUCGCGGGGACCGAGGUUCGCGCAUCUGCAAGGAUGCUGGCGUAAUGGUCAUCAGCGACCCGUCUUGAAACACGGACCAAGGAGUCAAGGUUUUGCGCGAGUGUUUGGGUGUAAAACCCGCACGCGUAAUGAAAGUGAACGUAGGUGAGAGCUUCGGCGCAUCAUCGACCGAUCCUGAUGUAUUCGGAUGGAUUUGAGUAAGAGCGUUAAGCCUUGGACCCGAAAGAUGGUGAACUAUGCUUGGAUAGGGUGAAGCCAGAGGAAACUCUGGUGGAGGCUCGCAGCGGUUCUGACGUGCAAAUCGAUCGUCAAAUCUGAGCAUGGGGCGAAAGACUAAUCGAAC
rnacentral:rRNA from 1 species